rnacentral:rRNA from 1 species
GACGAACGCUGGCGGCGUGCUUAACACAUGCAAGUCGAACGAAGUGGCGAACGGGUGAGUAACGCGUAAUCAACCUGCCCUUCAGAGGGGGACAACAGUUGGAAACGACUGCUAAUACCGCAUACUGAAGGAGGGGCUUGCGUCUGAUUAGCUAGUUGGAGGGGUAACGGCCUACCAAGGCGAUGAUCAGUAGCCGGUCUGAGAGGAGGAACGGCAACGAGGGGACUGGGACACGGCCCAGACUCCUUGGGGAGGAGGCAGUGGGGAAUCUUCCGGCAUGGACGAAAGUCUGACGAAGCAACGCCGGGGGAGUGAUGACGGCCUUCGGGUUGUAAAGCUCUGUUAAUCGGGACACGGUACCGGAAUGGAGAGCCACGGCUAACUACGUGCCAGCCGCCGCGGUAAUUC